AACAAAGAUUGGAUCAAAGAGAAGA
rnacentral:piRNA from 1 species